UCUCAUGGAGAGUUUGAUCCUGGCUCAGGAUGAACACUGGCCGUAUGCUUAACACAUGCAAGUCAAACGGGGAGGGUGGUGUUUCCAGUGGCGAACGGGUGAGUAACGCGUAAGAACCUGCCGGGAACAACAGCUAGAAACGGCUGCUAAUACCCUGUAGGCUGAGGAGCAAGAGUAAGCAUCC
rnacentral:rRNA from 1 species